CGGACACUUCCGCACAUGCCAGAAGUCCACGGCCAGCGGGGUGUUGGGGAUGACUUUCCCGUUGACUGGCAUUGUCUGAGGUGCCCCUGGAUGUCCUGCAACCAGACACAGGGAGGAUGCAGUGGUGCUAUACACACACUCCUGCAGAGGAAUGGAUGUUCACGUGUGAGAAGAUGUCUCUUGGGGGCAAAGAGCAAGUUGCUGGACAGAAGGACAGCACACAGUCCUUCCACCGCAUGGCACAGUAAUACACAGACAUCACCAUGUGCCACACACCGCCAACAGGCCAGCAACUUCCUACGACUAACGAGGACGCAGGAGGAAGAAACAAGGGGGAAAACAAGCUAAUCAAAACUAAUUUAUAAAAAUAUAUGUAAACAAAGGAGAAUAUAUGUUAGAAAUGGGUAAUGAAUAAAACUUCCACCCCACCGACCAGCCCACUUUUCACACAGCUUUUUGUCUUCUUCGCUCUACUCUCUUUUCCCUCUUUAUCCGUACUCACACAGCUCCCCUACACACACACCUACUCAUGUGCAUAGUUGUUAAUCACUUCUCUUGCACUACUAAUAAACAACAAAACAACAACUAAAAGCAGUCCUCACAUGAUCCCCAACCUCUUUUUCACCUAAUCUAUUACGUGUGUGUGUGUGUGUGUGUGUGUGUGUGUGUG